rnacentral:rRNA from 1 species
GACGAACGCUGGCGGCGUGCCUAAUACAUGCAAGUAGAACGCACAGUUUAUACCGUAGCUUGCUACACCAUACACUGUGAGUUGCGAACGGGUGAGUAACGCGUAGGUAACCUGCCUGGUAGCGGGGGAUAACUAUUGGAAACGAUAGCUAAUACCGCAUAAUAUUGAUUAUUGCAUGAUAAUUGAUUGAAAGAUGCUAUUGCAUCACUACCAGAUGGACCUGCGUUGUAUUAGCUAGUAGGUGAGGUAACGGCUCACCUAAGCGACGAUACAUAGCCGACCUGAGAGGGUGAUCGGCCACACUGGGACUGAGACACGGCCCAGACUCCUACGGGAGGCAGCAGUAGGGAAUCUUCGGCAAUGGACGAAAGUCUGACCGAGCAACGCCGCGGGAGUGAAGAAGGGUUUCGGAUCGUAAAGCUCUGUUGUAAGAGAAGAACGGGUGUGAGAGUGGAAAGUUCACACUGUGACGGUAUCUUACCAGAAAGGGACGGCUAACUACGUG